UACAGAGGUCUCGAGCGUUAGGCGGAAUCACUGGGCUUAAAGCGUGUGUAGGCGGAUGCCUAAGUACCUUGUGAAAUCCCACGGCUCAACCGUGGAACUGCUGGGUAUACUGGUUGUCUUGAGCCAGCUAGGGGCGAGCGGAACAGACGGUGGAGCGGUGAAAUGCGUAGAUAUCGUCUGGAACGCCGAAGGUGAAAACAGCUCGCUGGGGCUGCGCUGACGCUGAGACACGAAAGCCAGGGGAGCGAACGGG
rnacentral:rRNA from 1 species